rnacentral:lncRNA from 1 species
CGGAGUACCCCAUUGCUCGCCUGGCAGUAUGCUAUAUCGAUGACUGUAACCAACGUGACUUACAAGUUUUGGUCAACUCAGUAAGGUUUCCACUCGUCCGUCUUGAAAUUUCGAACUGCGUGACAGCAGAACCGAAGUCAUGGAGCAAUAUACAAAUAGGAAUUGUAGUAUUUGCAGCGAUCAUACUUGUUGCCGUUAUUAGCGGUACACUUGUGGACCAUUUCAUGGAACAACCUGAAUGCAGAAAAAACCGUGGUGUCCUCUUCCAAGUCGCCGUGGUGUUCUC